CCUACGGGUGGCAGCAGUGAGGAAUAUUGGUCAAUGGACGAGAGUCUGAACCAGCCAAGUAGCGUGAAGGAUGACUGCCCUCUGGGUUGUAAACUUCUUUUAUAUGGGAAUAAACUGUUGCACGUGUGGGAUUUUGUAUGUACCAUAUGAAUAAGGAUCGGCUAACUCCGUGCCAGCAGCCGCGGUAAUACGGAGGAUCCGAGCGUUAUCCGGAUUUAGUGGGUUUAAAGGGAGCGUAGGUGGAUUGUUAAGUCAGUUGUGAAAGUUUGCGGCUCAACCGUAAAAUUGCAGUUGAAACUGGCAGGCUUGAGUACGGUAGAGGUAGGCGGAAUUCGUGGUGUAGCGGUGAAAUGCUUAGAUAUCACGAAGAACUCCGAUUGCGAAGGCAGCUCACUGGACUGCAACUGACACUGAGGCGCGAAAGUGUGGGUAUCAAACAGGAUUAGAUACCCUUGUAGUC
rnacentral:rRNA from 1 species